UAAAGAAAAAGACAAAAACGAAAAGGAAAAAGGGGCCCUCGGACAGCAGCUCUUGACUUUGGAUGACUUUUAUUUUUCGAAUAUUAUGGAAUUG
rnacentral:ribozyme from 1 species